AGCGAGGCAGAGGAAUUGGUCAACUCGUCAGGCUCAUGACCUGAAGAUUGCAAAGCUCGAAUCCUAUCCCCGCCU